CAGCAGCCGCGGUAAUACAGAGGGUGCGAGCGUUAAUCGGAUUUACUGGGCGUAAAGCGUGCGUAGGCGGCUUCUUAAGUCGGAUGUGAAAUCCCUGAGCUUAACUUAGGAAUUGCAUUCGAUACUGGGAAGCUAGAGUAUGGGAGAGGAUGGUAGAAUUCCAGGUGUAGCGGUGAAAUGCGUAGAGAUCUGGAGGAAUACCGAUGGCGAAGGCAGCCAUCUGGCCUAAUACUGACGCUGAGGUACGAAAGCAUGGGGAGCAAACAGGAUUAAAUACCCCUGUAGUCCCUGUCUCUUAUAC
rnacentral:rRNA from 1 species